rnacentral:rRNA from 1 species
UACAGAGGGGGCAAGCGUUGUUCGGAAUUAUUGGGCGUAAAGAGCUCGUAGGCGGUCUGUCGCGUCUGCUGUGAAAACUCAGGGCUUAACCCUGAGCUUGCAGUGGGUACGGGCAGACUAGAGUGCGGUAGGGGAGAUUGGAAUUCCUGGUGUAGCGGUGGAAUGCGCAGAUAUCAGGAGGAACACCAAUGGCGAAGGCAGAUCUCUGGGCCGUAACUGACGCUGAGGAGCGAAAGCAUGGGGAGCGAACAGG